GAUGAACGCUGGCGGCGUGACUAAUACAUGCAAGUCGAGCGAAGCGGGGACGGUUGAGUAACACGUGGAUAACCUCCUAUAAGACUGGGUUAACUUCGGGAAACCGGAGCUAAACCGGAUCCUUAUAGAUGGAUCCGCGCUGCAUUAGCUAGUUGGUAAGGUAACGGCUUACCAAGGCAACGAUGCAUAGCCGACCUGAGAGGGGAAUCGGCCGCACUGGAACUGAGACACGGUCCAGACUGCGACGGGAGGCGGCAGUAGGAAAUCUUCCGCAAUGGGCGAAAGCCUGACGGAGAAACGACGCGGGAGUGAUGAAGGUCUUCGGAUCGUAAAAAUCUGUUAUUAGGGAAGCGGUAAAUAAUCAGAAAGCCACGACUAACUACGUGCCAGCAGCCGAGGUAAUAC
rnacentral:rRNA from 1 species